rnacentral:rRNA from 1 species
UCUGGUUGAUCCUGCCAGUAGUGAUAUGCUUGUUUCAAAGAUUAAGCCAUGCAUGUCUAAGUAUGAGCGAACUUAUACAGUGAAACUGCGGAUGGCUCAUUAAAACAGUUUGAAUUUAUUUGAUGAAUGUAUGAGAAUACUACUUGGAUAACCGUAGUAAUUCCAGAGCUAAUACAUGCAACGACGCCCGACCGUUUCACUACGGAAGGGCUGUAUUUAUUGGAUACCAAAACCAUCCUUCCCUCGGGAAGUUUUGUUUGAUGAUUCACAAUAACUGAUCGGAUCGCCACUGUGGUGGCGACAGGUCAUUCAACAUUCUGCCCUAUCAGCUUUCGAUGGUUGUGUAGUGGACAACCAUGGCCAUAACGGGUAACGGAGAAUCAGGGUUCGAUUCCGGAGAAGGAGCUUGAGAAUUGGCUACUACAUCUAAGGAAGGCAGCAGGCGCGCAAAUUACCCAAUCCCGAUUCGGGGAGGUAGUGACAAAAAAUAACAAUACCGGGCCUUUUUGGGCUUGGUAAUUGGAAUGAGGGAGAGUUAAACGGACCAUCGAGUAUCCAUUGGAGGGCAAGUCUGGUGCCAGCAGCUGCGGUAAUACCAGCUCCAAUAGCGUAUAUUAAAGUUGUUGCAGUUAAAAAGCUCGUAGUUGGACUUGUGUGCGCUGUCCGCGGGUGGCCUGCGCCCAAAAGGGCGUUUCGGUUCGGCCCCGGUGGCGCCUUGAAAUCUGCAGCUGGGGGGACGUUGGCCUUAACUGGUCGGCGACCGCACGCCGGCUGCUCUGUUACUGUGAGAAAAUUAGAGUGUUCAAGGCAGGCAUUGGGUGCAAUUGAAUACAUUAGCAUGGAAUAAUAAAAUAUGGCUCCUGCCGUAUUUUGUUGGUUUUGACCGGUGGGAGUAAUGAUUGAUAGGGACGGUUGGGGGUGCUAGUAUUGAGCGGCCAGAGGUGAAAUUCAUGGAUUCGCUCAAGACUAACUUAUGCGAAAGCAUUCACCAAGGACGUCCUCUUUAAUCAAGAACGAAAGUUGGGGGAUCGAAGACGAUCAGAUACCGUCGUAGUCUCAACCAUAAACUAUGUCGACUUGGGAUCGGCGGUAGUUUUUUCAUUAAGACACUGUCGGGACCACGGGAGAAAUCAAAGUGUCUGGACUCUGGGGGAAGUAUGGUCGCAAGGCUGAAACUUGAAGGAAUUGACGGAAGGGCACCACCAGGAGUGGAGCCU